rnacentral:lncRNA from 1 species
AAAAAAAUCUGUAUAUGAUUUUAUAUACAUAUCAGCUUAACAAAAUUCUUCCCCUGUUAUGUACAUGAAGUUUUAAAAAAGGGACUGACAGCCUAACAGUUUAUAUAGUAUAUAUUAUCAUAUAUGAUAGUUAUGUAUAUACUAUCAUAUACAUAACAUAGAUAUGUAUAUGAUUUUAUAUGCAUAACAUGACAUGUAUGUGAUUUUAUAUACAUAACAUAGAUAUGUAUAUAUACAUAAAAAAUGUUAUGUACAUAGUCCCAUAUACAUAACCAAUGUUAUGUAUAUGUGCUAAAAAUACCAAACCUUGUUAACAUACAUAACAAAUGUUACGUAUAUAUAUAACAUAUACAUAACCCGCAAUCCUACACAUAGCAGAUAACCUUAGAGAGACGAGGCCGUGAUGUAUUUCUUUGUUUCAUCUUCCUUGAAGAUUGAUCAACUUACUUUUUUAAACUACUAGAACAACUUUCCGCAUCUUUUCAUCUUGGGGGAGGGGGGGGGGGGGCGUGGGGGUGAAGUAACAACAAAUUUCAUAAUGUAUAUGACAUUCUUCUUCUUCUUCUUCUUCUUCUUCUUCUUCUUCUUCUUCGUCUUCUUCUUCUUCUUCUUCUUCUUCUAAUUUCACUAAUUCUUUCAUUCCUAAGUCUACACCUUCUCCCGUUUUCUUUCUAUCGUCGAAGAAGACGAGGAGGAGGAAGAAAAAACCCAACAGUUAAAUGAAUCAAAAAAUAACCCAAUUUAUCGCUUCUUUUUAAUCCAGACAACAAUCGUCGGGAAUGCAAGUUAUCUCUACAAAAGAAUCGUAAAACGAAUGAUGGGCGGAAAGAAAG